AUUGAACGCUGGCGGCAUGCCUUACACAUGCAAGUCGAACGGUAACAGGUCUUCGGAUGCUGACGAGUGGCGAACGGGUGAGUAAUACAUCGGAACGUGCCUAGUAGUGGGGGAUAACUACUCGAAAGAGUGGCUAAUACCGCAUGAGAUCUACGGAUGAAAGCAGGGGAUCGCAAGACCUUGUGCUACAUGAGCGGCCGAUGGCAGAUUAGGUAGUUGGUGGGAUAAAAGCUUACCAAGCCGACGAUCUGUAGCUGGUCUGAGAGGACGAUCAGCCACACUGGGACUGAGACACGGCCCAGACUCCUACGGGAGGCAGCAGUGGGGAAUUUUGGACAAUGGGCGAAAGCCUGAUCCAGCAAUGCCGCGUGCAGGAUGAAGGCCUUCGGGUUGUAAACUGCUUUUGUACGGAACGGAAAGCCCUGGGUUAAUACCCUGGGGUCAUGACGGUACCGUAAGAAUAAGCACCGGCUAACUACGUGCCAGCCGCCGCAGUAA
rnacentral:rRNA from 1 species